UAGGGUGUAAUCAAUUAUGAUAUUUCUUUUACAAUGAAAAAGAGCUAAAGGCCACUCUAA
rnacentral:tRNA from 1 species